UACGUAGGGGGCAAGCGUUGUCCGGAAUCAUUGGGCGUAAAGAGCGCGUAGGCGGUCCGGUAAGUCCGCUCUGAAAGUCCGGGGCUCAACCCCGGGAGGCGGGCGGAUACUGUCGGGCUAGAGUCCGGAAGAGGCGAGUGGAAUUCCUGGUGUAGCGGUGAAAUGCGCAGAUAUCAGGAGGAACACCGAUGGCGAAGGCAGCUCGCUGGGACGGUACUGACGCUGAGGCGCGACAGCGUGGGGAGCAAACAGG
rnacentral:rRNA from 1 species